rnacentral:piRNA from 1 species
UCAUGGACCUUCAUACACACUCCACUCUGA